AGAGUUUGAUCCUGGCUCAGAACGAACGCUGGCGGCGUGCCUAACACAUGCAAGUCGAACGGGGAUAAGUAGCUUGCUAUUUAUUCUAGUGGCGCACGGGUGAGUAACGCGUAGAUAAUCUGCCUUAGACUCUGGGAUAACAUCUCGAAAGGGGUGCUAAUACCGGAUAAGCCCACGGGGACGUGAGUUCUUGCGGGAAAAGGGGGCCUCUGCAUAUGCUCUUGAUCUAAGAUGAGUCUGCGUACCAUUAGCUUGUUGGUAGGGUAAUGGCCUACCAAGGCGACGAUGGUUAGCUGGUCUGAGAGGAUGAUCAGCCACACUGGGACUGAGACACGGCCCAGACUCCUACGGGAGGCAGCAGUGGGGAAUUUUGCGCAAUGGGGGAAACCCUGACGCAGCAACGCCGCGUGAGUGAUGAAGGCUUUCGGGUCGUAAAGCUCUGUCUAGAGGGAAGAAGUGAUUAAGGGUUAAUACCCCUUGAUCUUGACGGUACCUCCGAAGGAAGCACCGGCUAACUCCGUGCCAGCAGCCGCGGUAAUA
rnacentral:rRNA from 1 species